rnacentral:misc_RNA from 1 species
AAAAAAAAAAAAAAAAAAAAGCGAUGGGCCUUGCUUCCUUUCCAUCUCUCAAAGCUUAAUUAGCCCCCGCCCAUCACUCAUUACUUCUUUACAGAUGAAGAAGAAUGAACAUCCGCAAUUCUUUUACAUUGGAUUAUGAAAAUUCAAAAUUGGCUUAGCCGCUUGUGGCCUAGUUAAUUAGUAUUCCUUAAGCAACAACAACUGUGCCUGUCCGUACAGUUUUAUUGGGGGAAUUCUCCUCUGCCUCCGAUUUCCUCAGAGAUCUACUAGAAGAAGAGGACAGUUUCCAGUUCUUCUUCUUCCUCGACUCAUCCAUCUCUAUCUGCUCUUGUCUGCACUCUUUGCUACAAAACGGGGUAUUCCCUCUGUACAUGAAGAUGUCAGAGUUGCAACCAAGAGGUUUCCGGCAAAGAAAGCACGCUUCGAGGAAGUAAGGCUCGUGACCGUAGUAAGACAUGAGAUCGAUCUUUUAUGUAAAAGAAUGAAAGAAAACGAUGCCUACAGCUCUGGCGAGCAGAAGUGAAAAGGAGAAGGAGGAGAAAGCAAUUCUGGGACGGAGGAC